rnacentral:misc_RNA from 1 species
GUUUUCGCUUUUAGUUUUUGCAACAUGCUUCACUUCGGGUUUAAAACGGAGCCGUUUUCACUGGGGUGUGGACGUGAGGGCAACCCUAAGCGGGCGCCUAUUCACUAAUGAUCCUUCCGCAGGUUCACCUACGGAAA